rnacentral:rRNA from 1 species
ACACAUGCAAGUCGAGGGGCAGCAUGGUCUUAGCUUGCUAAGGCCGAUGGCGACCGGCGCACGGGUGAGUAACACGUAUCCAACCUGCCGUCUACUCUUGGACAGCCUUCUGAAAGGAAGAUUAAUACAAGAUGGCAUCAUGAGUCCGCAUGUUCACAUGAUUAAAGGUAUUCCGGUAGACGAUGGGGAUGCGUUCCAUUAGAUAGUAGGCGGGGUAACGGCCCACCUAGUCUUCGAUGGAUAGGGGUUCUGAGAGGAAGGUCCCCCACAUUGGAACUGAGACACGGUCCAAACUCCUACGGGAGGCAGCAGUGAGGAAUAUUGGUCAAUGGGCGAGAGCCUGAACCAGCCAAGUAGCGUGAAGGAUGACUGCCUUAUGGGUUGUAAACUUCUUUUAUAAAGGAAUAAAGUCGGGUAUGGAUACCCGUUUGCAUGUACUUUAUGAAUAAGGAUCGGCUAACUCCGUGCCAGCAGCCGCGGUAAUACGGAGGAUUCGAGCGUUAUCCGGAUUUAUUGGGUUUAAAGGGAGCGUAGAUGGAUGUUUAAGUCAGUUGUGAAAGUUUGCGGCUCAACCGUAAAAUUGCAGUUGAUACUGGAUAUCUUGAGUGCAGUUGAGGCAGGCGGAAUUCGUGGUGUAGCGGUGAAAUGCUUAGAUAUCACGAAGAACUCCGAUUGCGAAGGCAGCCUGCUAAGCUGCAACUGACAUUGAGGCUCGAAAGUGUGGGUAUCAAACAGGAUUAGAUACCCUGGUAGUCCACACGGUAAACGAUGAAUACUCGCUGUUUGCGAUAUACGGCAAGCGGCCAAGCGAAAGCGUUAAGUAUUCCACCUGGGGAGUACGCCGGCAACGGUGAAACUCAAAGGAAUUGACGGGGGCCCGCACAAGCGGAGGAACAUGUGGUUUAAUUCGAUGAUACGCGAGGAACCUUACCCGGGCUUAAAUUGCAGAUGAAUUACGGUGAAAGCCGUAAGCCGCAAGGCAUCUGUGAAGGUGCUGCAUGGUUGUCGUCAGCUCGUGCCGUGAGGUGUCGGCUUAAGUGCCAUAACGAGCGCAACCCUUGUUGUCAGUUACUAACAGGUUCUGCUGAGGACUCUGACAAGACUGCCAUCGUAAGAUGUGAGGAAGGUGGGGAUGACGUCAAAUCAGCACGGCCCUUACGUCCGGGGCUACACACGUGUUACAAUGGGGGGUACAGAGGGCCGCUACCACGCGAGUGGAUGCCAAUCCCAAAAACCUCUCUCAGUUCGGACUGGAGUCUGCAACCCGACUCCACGAAGCUGGAUUCGCUAGUAAUCGCACAUCAGCCACGGCGCGGUGAAUACGUUCCCGGGCCUUGUACACACCGCCCGUCAAGCCAUGGGAGCCGGGGGUACCUGAAGUGCGUAACCGCGAGGAGCGCCCUAGGGUAAAACUGGUGACUGGGGCU